rnacentral:rRNA from 1 species
UACGGGGGGGGUAAGCGUUGUUCGGAAUUACUGGGCGUAAAGGGCUCGUAGGCGGCCAACUAAGUCAUACGUGAAAUCCCUCAGCUUAACUGGGGAACUGCGUGUGAUACUGGAUGGCUUGGAUUUGGGAGAGGGAUGCGGAAUUCCAGGUGUAGCGGUGAAAUGCGUAGAUAUGUGGAGGAAUACCGUUGGCGAAGGCAGCCUCCUGGGCCAACACUGACGCUCAUGCACGAAAGCGUGGGGAGCAAACAGG